AGGUCCAUACUCCAGUCGUUGGUGGUAAUGCACCUUAAAGUUGGUUGCCUACUGCUAUAUAAAGUCCGAAGAAGCCUGAAGGAGGAGAGAUUACUAGAAACAAACUUUUACCUGUGGAUUAAUUGUCGGAGUAGAAGACUUUGUGCAUUUCAGGUAAAUGGUAAUAUGCUCUAAACCGCUCUGGUGACAAACAAACUUUGCUGCCUUGUUUCCAAUUGUCCACAUGGCUGGGAGAACCUAUUCAAGGCCAUCUGGGACUGCCUCCAGAGGGCCUUCAGGCGUGUGAAGGCUACCUGUGUCCUGCAUAACUUAAUGGACAUGAGGACCAGGAGGGGAUCUGCAGCUUGCCGCUGUGUGCCAGAGGAGAGGUCUACAGGAUGUUUCAAGGAUGGGGGCAAACAACUCAGCACAGGAGGCAAUCCAUGUGCGGGAGAUCUUCACCACCACCUUCAAAGAGGGUGCUGUUCCCUGGCAACACCAUAGACCACACUAUGCACAACCAAAUGCUCUUAAGAGCCAUCCACAUUGCAAUAAGAGUAUUCUCCCAUUUACUUAGCUAUGUCAACUGCAGUUAUUCAAUUCCAGGUUUCUUACCUUUUGAUUUCUACUUCAGGUGAGGGUGCUGUUCAGGUGAGGGUGCUGUUCAGGUGAGGGUGCUGUUCAGGUGAGGGUGCUGUUCAGGUGAGG